UACGUAGGGUGCAAGCGUUAAUCGGAAUUACUGGGCGUAAAGCGUGCGCAGGCGGUUCUAUAAGACAGAUGUGAAAUCCCCGGGCUCAACCUGGGAACUGCAUUUGUGACUGUAGAGCUGGAGUGCGGCAGAGGGGGAUGGAAUUCCGCGUGUAGCAGUGAAAUGCGUAAAUAUGCGGAGGAACACCGAUGGCGAAGGCAAUCCCCUGGGCCUGCACUGACGCUCAUGCACGAAAGCGUGGGGAGCAAACAGG
rnacentral:rRNA from 1 species